rnacentral:misc_RNA from 1 species
UUUCCGUAGGUGAACCUGCGGAAGGAUCAUUACAGAGUUUUUUUCUGAAAGUUUUAGGACUGAAGGAAAAAUACAUUUUACAUAAAACACCUUGUGAAUUUAAUUCCUGUUGCUUUGGUGGGGAGAUUAUUUUCCCCACCAGAGGAUUAAAAAACAUCAUUAUUUUUUCUGAUUUAAUAUUUUAAAUAAAAUACAAAAAAACUUUCAGCAACGGAUCUCUUGGCUCUC